rfam:Ornithorhynchus anatinus chromosome 1, whole genome shotgun sequence.
AGCAGUGUGGCUCAGUGGAAAGAGCACGGUCUUGGGAGUCAGAGGUCACGGGUUUGAAUCCCGGCUCUGCCA